ACAAUAAGUUUGUUAUUAGUAUUGCCCACAAAGGCUGAUGAGCAUGCGCAGUUCAAACACUUUUUUAUAUACAACGCCAUUUUCAUUUCUCCCGCUUCAUUUUCGAGUUUCCUCAAGCGGGGCCUGUUUAUUCCGUCAUGUUGAAAGCUCCGGUGACGGCAAGUUAGUCAGUUCAGUUUUCCCGCCUGCUCUUAUGAGUUGCCUCAGGUCAGACGUCGCCUAUUUUUUUCUUCUUGACAGUCUAAGUUAAUCUCUCCGAGUUGCCUCAGGCGGCGCCCGGUUCAUGUUGGUCCGUCAUUGUUAUCACUCCGGUGGCGGCAAGUUAGUCAUUUAAAUUUUCCUGCUUCGUCUUCGCGUUGCCUGAGAAGGGUCGAGUUGCUUCGGAUCAGACGAGCACCAGGUGGCUAGUUGGUCAGUUCAGCUUCUCCUGCUUCGUCUUCGAGCUGUCUUAAGUCAUUCAGUGGCAGUUUUUCCAGACAGUGUCGUGACUUAGGGUGAUGCAGUGCAAGAUAUGCAGAUUUGAACACCCUGCCCAGGAGGUCCUUUUGAAACAUGACCAAUUGUGCCAUUACCAGGGAAGAUACUGCCAACUACCCUGCCUCUACACAGAUUGCAUCUGCUCCUUUAAAACCAAUGGUUGAAGUCUCACCUUUUAAGAUCAAGUGCUU